rnacentral:rRNA from 1 species
AUUGAACGCUGGCGGAAUGCUUUACACAUGCAAGUCGAACGGCAGCACGGGUGCUUGCACCUGGUGGCGAGUGGCGAACGGGUGAGUAAUACAUCGGAACGUGCCCAGUAAUGGGGGAUAACACAGCGAAAGCUGUGCUAAUACCGCAUACGCCCUGAGGGGGAAAGCGGGGGAUCGAAAGACCUCGGGUUAUUGGAGCGGCCGAUGCCUGAUUAGCUAGUUGGUAGGGUAAAGGCCUACCAAGGCGACGAUCAGUAGCUGGUCUGAGAGGAUGAUCAGCCACACUGGAACUGAGACACGGUCCAGACUCCUACGGGAGGCAGCAGUGGGGAAUUUUGGACAAUGGGGGAAACCCUGAUCCAGCCAUUCCGCGUGAGUGAAGAAGGCCUUCGGGUUGUAAAGCUCUUUCGGCAGGGAAGAAACGCUCUGGGUUAAUAACCUGGGGUAAUGACGGUACCUGAAGAAGAAGCACCGGCUAACUACGUGCCAGCCGCCGCAGUAA